rnacentral:rRNA from 1 species
AGUGAACGCUGGCGGUAGGCCUAACACAUGCAAGUCGAACGGCAGCACAGAGGAGCUUGCUCCUUGGGUGGCGAGUGGCGGACGGGUGAGGAAUACAUCGGAAUCUACUCUGUCGUGGGGGAUAACGUAGGGAAACCUACGCUAAUACCGCAUACGACCUACGGGUGAAAGCAGGGGGCCUUCGGGCCUUGCGCGAUUGAAUGAGCCGAUGUCGGAUUAGCUAGUUGGCGGGGUAAAGGCCCACCAAGGCGACGAUCCGUAGCUGGUCUGAGAGGAUGAUCAGCCACACUGGAACUGAGACACGGUCCAGACUCCUACGGGAGGCAGCAGUGGGGAAUAUUGGACAAUGGGCGCAAGCCUGAUUCAGCCAUACCGCGUGGGUGAAGAAGGCCUUCGGGUUGUAAAGCCCUUUUGUUGGGAAAGAAAUCCAGCUGGUUAAUACCCGGUUGGGAUGACGGUACCCAAAGAAUAAGCACCGGCUAACUUCGUGCCAGCAGCCACCGUAA